GAUGUUUAGCAUCCCAAAGCGGCUCCCCACCCUGGCCCCAGCCUGGGAACUGGGAGCUGUGGGCAGGAGAGGAAGGAAAGCAGCUCUCUCAGCUAGCAAGGGGGUCAGGGACUGGGCCAAGCUCAGAAGAGGGGAGAAGAGCGAGACAGAUAUGCUCUGAGUAGGGGAGACAGGGAUCCCGGGCUGUUGCGGCUACCAACAAGGGCACACACUGCGGUCCUCAAGGCCAGGAGGCGGAUGGGGGCAGGGAAUGCCUCAGCCAACAGGGCAGGGGCUCGGCCCUGCUGCUGGCCCGGUGGGAAGUAGCCUGGGGCCCAGCGAAUGAAAUCCGAGUCAGGCCCGGGCAGUCUCCGCUAGAAACGCUCUGGGCACGCACUCCUGGAGACGCGGAUGCCCCGGGCGCUCCAGACCUGUGUCCUUGUAGGAGGCUUCUUCCCGAAGCUUAGAGUUUGGCCUUUCAUAGGGAAAGACUUGCUCGGGAGCCUUCUAAGGAAUUUUAAAUCUUCCUGGGCCAGGGCUAGGGAGCGAGCUCUAGUGACAGUGUCUUGGUUUGGCAUCCAACUCUCCAAAUUUGAGGCCGCAGAGAAGAAUUCUCAGACUUAGAGGCCGCACAGCCUUCAGCGCGCUCACCGCGUCCAGGCGUCAGCGAGGGGCUAUCUCGAGGCGCGACUGCACAAAAGGUAGCGCGAAUCUCUUCUCAGGCGAUCCAGAUAAGAGGAAAUGAGAGCGGGGUUUUCUGACUUCCAACUCAUUAGGGACCAGGUUCUUUUUAUUCAGGAUCAGGCACAGAGACUGACUGAAUGGCUCCAAUUAUCAGGAUUUGAAAACCCAGUAUCAGAAUCUACCACUUUGUAUGGAGUCUUACUCUGUCACCCAGGCUGGAGU